GACGAACGCUGGCGGCGUGCUUAACACAUGCAAGUCGAACGGUGAAGCCCUUCGGGGUGGAUCAGUGGCGAACGGGUGAGUAACACGUGAGCAACCUUCCCCUGGCCCUGGGACAACCACUGGAUACGGUGGCUAAUACCGGAUACGACCCGCCUCUCCAGCGAGUGUGGGUGGAAAGGUUUGCGGCUGGGGAUGGGCUCGCGCCCUAUCAGCUUGUUGGUGAGGGGACGGUGCACCAAGGCGACGACGGGUAGCCGGCCUGAGAGGGCGACCGGCCACACUGGGACUGAGACACGGCCCAGACUCCUACGGGAGGCAGCGGUGGGGAAUAUUGCACAAUGGGCGGAAGCCUGAUGCAGCGACGCCGCGUGAGGGAUGACGGCCUUCGGGUUGUAAACCUCUUUCAGCUCCGAAGAAGCGAAAGUGACGGUAGGAGCAGAAGAAGCACCGGCUAACUACGUG
rnacentral:rRNA from 1 species